AUGAUUUUUUUUGCACAGGUGUGCUUUAGGGCUGCCGUUGAAGAUGUUCUAAGCGUCGGCAAGCAAAUCAGGCAAUUUUAUCGAGCUAAACAGAGUUCAGAUCAAAGUAGCUGCCGCCGUGCCGGACCUCAGCGUCACCGCCGACGCCUCAAUCCCGCUCCGCCUCGCACCCGACGGCUCAGUCCCACGCCCCCCUCCCCGACGCCUUCUCCCCACCUCCGACACCCCGGCCUCUCACGAGCGUCGCUGCCAUCGCCGUUCCCGUUCUUCCUCGAGGGGACAUCGCGUCUCCACCCCGUCCACAGUUUCGCCCAUUGA
rnacentral:rRNA from 1 species